UGGGGAAUUUUGGACAAUGGGCGAAAGCCUGAUCCAGCAAUGCCGCGUGUGUGAAGAAGGCCUUCGGGUUGUAAAGCACUUUUGUCCGGAAAGAAAUCCUUGGCUCUAAUACAGUCGGGGGAUGACGGUACCGGAAGAAUAAGCACCGGCUAACUACGUGCCAGCAGCCGCGGUAAUACGUAGGGUGCAAGCGUUAAUCGGAAUUACUGGGCGUAAAGCGUGCGCAGGCGGUUUGCUAAGACCGAUGUGAAAUCCCCGGGCUCAACCUGGGAACUGCAUUGGUGACUGGCAGGCUAGAGUAUGGCAGAGGGGGGUAGAAUUCCACGUGUAGCAGUGAAAUGCGUAGAGAUGUGGAGGAAUACCGAUGGCGAAGGCAGCCCCCUGGGCCAAUACUGACGCUCAUGCACGAAAGCGUGGGGAGCAAACAGGAUUAGAUACCCUGGUAGUCCACGCCCUAAACGAUGUCAACUAAUUGUUGGGGAUUCAUUUCCUUAGUAACGUAGCUAACGCGUGAAGUUGACCGCCUGGGGAGUACGGUCGCAAGAUUAAAACUCAAAUGAAUUGACGGGGUCAUAGCUGUUUCCU
rnacentral:rRNA from 1 species